ACACCUACGGCCGGUCCCGUAGGGCCCGUUGCCGCCACAGCAUGCCACCAGAGGACUGUCGAUGCCAUUCCUGUGGGGAUUCCUGACAAACUCCAUGAAGGCACCGUAGUAGUCUGCGUAUAUGAUCUUCACGCUGGGGUUCCGGGACUUGAGCCGGCCGACCUCCUGCUUCAACAGCUGGUUGUGCCUCCGAGAGAACACGUUGAACCACGCGAGGCAGCGGAACUGGUCGUAGUCCGCAGAUGUAUUGCUCUUGUGAGUACUAAGGUAGGCUGGCACGCACCCGAUGGGGAAGUUCCCCGGGACAAUGAUCGUCUUCGCGCCGAGGUUGAUCACCUUCUGCACGCCGGCUCCUAUGCUGGCGAUAACAUCGGGCAUGUACUGCAGGGGUGUGUUUCUGUCCUUGCUGCGCUUAGGAUCGAAGAACCAGAAGUUGUAGUCAUUGCCGCCGAUCUCACCAAAGAUGACCAGGGACUCGCUCAGGAGCCUCUUUGUUGCAGCUGAUCACAGCAAAACGAAAGGAAUAAGUUGACGAAAAACACAUGCAGGUGCACGUAAUUAAAAUAUGAUAAGCUGACCGCAACGUAUGUUUUUGCAUGCGUUACGUACCAUCUCCUGGAGCAAUCCGUGUGAGCACUUUGUUGAAAGUAGCGAGCUGAUCCUGGAGGCUCCAAGGAAACGGUACACUGAAGUUAUACUUGGACUUGAAGUAGUUCGGGUUCAGCGCCAUAGCGCCGAACACGGCAAAGUUGGCACCGGCGGGAAACUGCCCCGUCUUCUCCAGAGGCAAGCUCGGUGGCAGCAGCGGCAGGCCCAACGCUUGCGCUGACAAAACAUCACGAACGAAAUUUAGCACGCGUACAAAAUUGAACCGUUAGAACACACAUGCAUGCACAUGUACACACCAUAGAAGUCGAUUAUGAGACGCCCAUCAGAGGCGCGGCCCGUGGGGUGGUGGAAGUAGGUCUCUCCAUAAGGAGGCACCAAGGGUGGACCCAGUGGUCUGUUGCGGACGGUGUAUGCAAAGUUGCCAGUGUCAGUGAUGGAGUCGCCGAAGGAGAAGAUACGCUUGAAGCAGUGGCACGACCCUAGAUCAGCGUUGAGCAGCAGAGCAGCAAAGACGAAGAGGAUGGCCAAGGAAAUGGAGCAGUGGCCAUUGGAACUCUCCAUCUUAGCUUUCUAGCUAAGCAGGAGAAAAGAGAGACGUAACUAUCUGGCUGCAAAUAGAAGUGUUCCAGAUCUACGUUUGGUUUAGUAUUCCACAUGAGUUCCCUUCAUCCCCAUUUAUAUUAGAGCGGUAUGCGGUCACGUUGUCUAUAUCAAGAUGUCUAUUAAUCUCAUUAAUGAUAUAUUUUUAGCAGUGUUUAUCUUACUACCCCACAAUUCUUUCCCUACAAUUAUAUGUUUGGUGAAUUGUGAAGAUAUUGCUAAAUAUCGACUUCUAUGCAAAUGAUGUCUUUCUGAAAGAUAAGGUUGGGUUUCCAUGGAAUUAAUUCAUGCACUAUAUAUCGGCCCAUCUGAUUUUCAGUCAGUUUGCUAUUGACUUAAAUUAUUUAGAUUUUUAGUCAGUUCGCUAUCCACCGUCUGACUGGGAUCCAAAGGCCCAUUUGUUUUCUUCUUCCUUUGCUUAACAGGUGACUGAAUUUUUUGACAUGACAGCCAGUUCUUUUCCGAUAAGACUAUCUACUAAAACUAAAAAUAAAAAUCAGAGAAUAACUUUUGCAUUAAAAUAAAAAAGAAAGAAAAUGAAAAAACUUUGAAGAGAUGAUGACAAAAACUAGAAUAGAAAUUGCACAUUUUCCCAAUACGUAAGAAUAAGACUAUAAUAGUGUAAUUUUCGAAAAAUAUUACAAUUUGCGCACAUUUUGCAUAAUACUUGCGUUUAUAAUUGGUGGUUAAUCGCCUCAUGUCAUAUUUAUGGUACCAUCUCGCGUGCAAGUACACACAUGAACACGUCGAAGACGAUAUACAUUCACAUUGAUAUCACAUGUGCGCAAGAACGUAGAGAGUCCGUUGCAUGUCUCGUCCCCCCUUUGCGGCUGUCCUUCCAAUAGCGAGGGGCCAUGUACUGAUAAAAGGCCCAAAUCUUAUAGGAAAGGAGAAAGGGCCAGACUAGAAACAGUACGCACGAACCCCACAGGCCAAGGACAUGGAUCGCCCUACCUGAAGGCAUGGUUAAGUUGAUCGUUGAUGCUGGGGUAUCUGUGGACCGAAAUGUUGGUACUGCAGCGGUUGUUUGCAGUAAUCGAGAGGGGUCUUAUGUUGGCUCGUCAGUUCUAGUUAUUAAACGUACGACAUGGACACGUGCGUAACACACUCAUAAACCCACACACACAUAUAGAAAAAGAUAGAAUCAAAAAAAUUGACUAUGCAGAAAGAAGAAAUAAAUAAAUAAAAGCUAAGAAACAUGAAAAAUGUAAAAAAAAAGGAAAUUUGUUGAACUAGAAAAAUAGCAUGGGCCUCUGAUAUAGUAAAAGGGAUUAUAUAUAUGUGUAUGCAUGAUAUAUAGUCAUCAUGUAAAAUGUGUUUGGCGUUGUACGUUUUUUGGACGGCGCAUGAGAGGAUUGAGGAAUUAUUUUAAAAUUCACUAUAUUAGAUGAGCAUAUUACAAGGAAAUAAUAAGGAAGUACAUUAUGAAAGAUUCGGUUGUCUCAUUAUUGCAGACUAUUCUUUCAGUUGGAGCCGACGUUUUCAUCGAUUGUGAGGCGUCCGUGGUGAUUUUGUCAAUAUUGAAGCUCCACAACUCCAACCCGGUCUUCAGUAGGUGAUGUAUGUGUGUGUGCGCGCGCACACACGAGUGUUUAUGUUGUAAUAGGUGUUGAACAAAAUGUUUUUUAGAGAUACCUUUGGGCGAACGUUGAAAAUUGGUGUAAAGUAAAUUUACAUCUUUUCAAUUCUUUCCUGAUGUAGGGUCCCUUUGUUUACAUACUUGCCACUGAAAUCCAUGGUUCAUGUACCACUAGCAUGAGGUCCCAAACUAAAUUUACUUGCCAAUAUGGGACCCAAAGGAAACUUACUGCCAAAUGUGUAGAAAGACUUAUGAAUAUAAUUGCAAGAACGUAUAUCUUGUAAUUCGUAUCAUGAUUUUGAAUAUGUUGAAAACUCGGCAUUAAAGUUUCCGGACGACGAAUGAGAGGAACUAGUAAUGUUGAGGAAGGACAUUUUUAACUCAUCGAUACUAGGUCAGUAGAAAAAACUUCUCUAUCUUAGAUGACUAUUUCUUCAAACUGCAAGUAGAUUGUGCUGAUCUCUGGAGGUUCGAUACUAGACCAAUUAAAAAUAGCUUGCCAUCUCUUUAUAGCCAUCCAGAGUUUGCCUCCAUGGAUCGGCUUGUAAUACCCUAAUCUAAGGCAGCAUCUCGAGAGGGGGGUGGGCCGGGGUCAAGCCGCGGAAGAAGAAGAAGAAGAGAAGUAUACUGUGACUACCAAAGCUAGAUGCCCGUCCCCCUUCAUCUCUCACAAGCGCCAAGGCCAUCUAGGGUUACCUGCCUCCCGCGGACGCCGACGGUGGUCUAGCUCAUCUAUCAUGGCUUUGGGUCCAUGGAGACAUGGUCGGCCCCAGCCUUGUCGACCGGAGGACUCCUGCUCCAUUUUUAGAUGUCUUUUUUACUUCAGUUAGGGUUAGUGUCCCUAAAGAUGGAAUAAUAUUCUCCCCGCCUAGCUCCUGUCCCGACCAUGCAUCUAGCGUCGCCGGAGGGCGUGCGGAGGUGUGUCUCCGAUUGAUCUCGCGGGGUUUGGUUAGUAUUUGUCCUUGAUGUAUCUGCUUGGAUCCAAUCUUUGUUUCUCUACGUUUAUGUAUAUACAGGUUGGAUCUUUCCGAUCUACGCAUUUGUUCAUCAGCGACGUUUGCUAUUCUAGUGCGCUAGUUCUGUGGGGCCUUAGCACGACGACUUUUCGACUGUAUACUAAAAAAGUUUGGCCCGGUUUCAAUGAGGAAGGGGCAAUGACAACGGUGCGCCUUUGACUUGCUCUAGUGCUUGUAUUCGUCGUUGGGAGGUCUAUAGACAUGUGUGUAAUUUUCGUUGCUUGAGGUGUUCUUACUCUCAUGAUUUUUGAUGAAUAGAUCAGAAAUUUCCCGCAAAAGAAAGAAGAAAAAAGAAAUGGAGGAUUAUAAUUGUUUCAUUUCAUAUUCGUUAUCCUUUUUGAGUGUCACACGAGCUGGAGUAUGUUGCUAUCUUGGGCGUGGGACUCCAAGCUCGUCUUGCCACAUAAACUGGGCCGCCACUCACACUCCUGGGUGUCCUCUUGCGCUUCGCGCCGCCACCCAACUGUAGCAUUUUAGCCUGUUGUCGCCUAAUUGCCGGUAUUAGAACCUCUAGGUUUGAACUUGAGUAGGUUAAUAAAAGACAUACAACCUUGGCAAGAACGAUGUUCGACAGAAUAUCUGACCCGUUGAACCGUAGCACUGACAGCAGGGGCGGACGAACACUAGCUAGUGGGGGGCUAGGAUCCAACUCAAGUUUUUGCCCUAUCCGUACAUCUCCGAUACACGCUCACCAAGGCCCCAAGUCAGUCGGCACAGACUGCUGCUCCCACUCCCUUUGAGCCAGGUUGAAAACAAAAGGCCAGAAAAAAUUGCCAAAGGCAAUUUUUCAGCAGCUUACGUGUCCCUGAAUCUAUUACUUGACUCAAAAGUAACUUGAGCAAUUUCCUCCAAAUAGAAACAAAAGCAACGACUAAAUGCAAGCCGAAAUGACGCCGGCUCAGACUCUUGGAUGACGAUUCACGUUUUAGAACAUUAGACUUUAAUUAUGAAGAAAAUUAAUCGUCGGUUUUGCCGCAACUAUACUACAGUUAGGUGGGGAUAUAUUAGUGCAUGCACGUUUGCAUGGUUUUUGUGAUAAAUACUCCCUCCAUUUCUAAAUAUUUGUUUUUCUAAAGAUUUCAACAAGAAACUACAUACGAAACAAAAUGAAUGAAUCUACACUCCAAAACAUGUCUAUAUACAUCCGUAUGUGGUAGUCCAUUUGAAAUCUCUAAAAAGACAAAUAUUAAGGAACAGAGAGAGUACAUUACAUAUUCAUGCAUGUGACAGAACCAACCAUUUCAUUCAUGAAUAAUUGAUAUGGAGAAUUAGAGAUACAGGGAUAGAAAUCCCAAGAAGCGUAUCAGAUCUUGGUGGCAGCAGCAAUUCUUCAUGUCUCAGAAGGAAUUCUCCUAGCAAGCGUGGAGCAACGGGAUGUCCGCAUACGGGCCGUUAAGCACCCCGUUGGGGAUGACACUGUAUGCCUUCUUUGUCAUGUGAACCUGGUCCCAGUUGGCGAACCUAGACGGGUCGCGGCAAACCUUCGCGUACGGUCGCACGGAUGGCCGGUGCCAUAGGGCCCAUUGCCACCACAGCAUGCCAUGAGAGAGCUGUCGAUGCCAUUCCUGUUCGGAUCCCUGAUGAACUCCAUGAAGGCGCCGUAGUAGUCUGCGUAGAUGAUCUUCACGCUGGGGUUCCGGGACUUGAGCCGGUGGACCUCCUGCUUCAACAGCCGGUUGUGCCUCCGAGAGAACGCGUUGAACCAUGCGAGGCAGCGGAACUGGUCGUAGUCCGCAGAUGUAUUGCUUUUGUGAGUACUAAGGUAGGCCGGCACGCACCCCAUGGGGAAGUUCCCUGGGACAAGGAUCGUCUUGGCGCCGAGGUUGAUCACCUUCUGCACGCCGGCUCCGAUGCGGUCGAUAAUAUCGGG
rnacentral:lncRNA from 1 species